ensembl:processed_transcript Gm12743 predicted gene 12743
GCGCGCAGGCAUCUUGGAGCAGGUAACGCGUUGCAGGCUGGCGCCAGCGUCGUGAGGCGUGGCGAGCUGCGCCCUUCACACACGAGCAUCCUGGACUCACCAGUCGGCUAGACACACGGUUCAUCAUGAUCCUCUCUGGAAGGUCCAUGGUGUUGGCAAUGGUCAGCACUAUCAAGUGGGCCCCUUUGUGAGUAGGCCAAUCAAAGAGGUUGUACAUUACAUCUUGUUUGUGAGUCCAAAGAAGGUCAAGCUGACAAAGACAAUAUACAUACAAUGUCACUCAGAGACCAAGCCAGGGCACAUAAGUGAUAGCCUGCACUACUGAGUUAGUGCAUGUCAUGUCCACAUCGCACUUUCUAAUCAGUCAGGGAAUCAAUGGACAGGCUUCAGUUGAUACACAAGCAGCCAGCACUUUUGCCUGCACACUAUCUGCUCCUAGGAGAGUGAAUCUGUGCAGCCAUUCCUUUCUCUUGUACUCCUGGGGCUCCUCACAGUGGGGCAAGUAGACAGGGCCACCAGACAGAAGGACUGGGUAAGGCCAAACAGGCUCAGACUCCAGGGAAUCUCAGGAUCGAGAGCUGCAGGAGUGGAGCCAGCUCCCUGCCAAGCUCUACCUGUUCUGGGGCAGGAGUGGAGACAUAGUCAUUCAUCUAUUGGGAGAAAACAGCACAGGAAGGAAGAGUACCAGAAGUCUGCAAGGCGUUUUAAUUAUGCUCAGAGAGCCACAAUGUACUUCCUUCUUUCAGGGAUCACCUCUUCUGGGGCUAAUGCAACUACCUGAAUUUUGGGAGUGAGACGAACAAGAAAAUGUGAAGACUACACAGCCAAGAAAGACUAUCAUGGCUGCAGUGAAGCCUAUUUAACCUCCCAUCUUUAUAUGAAAUGAGACAGACACUGUACAGCACACUGAUUGACAAACUGAGCAUUUAAAAAAGCCAUGAAUAGUUCAAGGAUUUUGAUGAAAUGUAAAUUAUUCCUAUUUUGAUUUUGAGACAGCGUCUUUCUAUGUAGCCCUGGCCUGCCUCAAACUCAGAGAAAUGCCAGUGCCUCCCUCCUGUGGACCACCAUGCCCAGCAAAUUAUUCUUUUUUCUAUCUCAUAAGCUUUACUAUGAGACAGGGUCUCCUGUAACUUCUGAUUCUAACUCUACUUCUUGAGUAUUGGAAUUCUAGGCGUGUACACCCACAGCUGUGUAUUGAACCCAGCUAGGCAGAUGGUUUACUAAACUGGACUAUAACCUCACCCUGCCUGGCUUCUCUUCUUCAUUCUUGCUAUCGUCAAGCACAUAUUAGCCCAUUCCUUGCUUGCCACCCCCCCCCAAUCUAUUAAUCUAGGUCAAACUCCCCAAAAUGGCUCAACACGAUAAACAGUUAACGGUGAUCCCACACAGCUCCAGAUCAAAUGACUUAAAUUCUUCUCUUCUUCUCCUCUCUCCCCUUACCCCUUCUGUUUGGUUUUGAGACCUCUGGCUAUCCUGUAGACCAGGCUGACUUAGAACUCUGAGAUCUACCUGCCUUUGCUUCCCAAGUGCUGGGAUUAAAGGCACGAGCCACCACCUUCCUGCCUCUUAAACUGUUCAUUGCCUUCUAAGAUCAAACUCUACCUCACUUGUUGCUUGGUGUUCCCUAAAUGGCCUUGCACACUAGCAGAGGCUGGCUUUAAUGACAGUCCUGCUUAUAACUCUCUGUGUUCCUUAAACACCGUUCUCCUCUGCCCUUCUGUUGUAGCUACCUUCUGUUGCUAUGAGAAACCCUGACCAAAACUAACCGGUGGAGGAAAAGGGUUAUUUCACCUUACAGCUUGCAGUCAUGGUAAAAGUCCAUCACUGAGGAAACUGGAGACAGGAACUUAAGCAGAGAUCAAGGAAAAAUGAAUGCUGUUUUCUGCCCUUGCUUUUUGUUUUUAUGACCCAGAAAGUAGCAUACUCAGUGGGCUGGGCCCUUCACAUUAGUCAUUAAUAAAAUGCCCCAGAGACUUGCUUACAGACCGAUUUGUUGAAGGUAUUUCCAAACAUCUCUCUUUAUGUCAAGUUGACAAAAGCUAAACAGCACACCUUUCAAAUCUAUAUGCUUCAAUGUCUGCAUCUACCUUUCUUGCCUUCACUCGUUUGACCACGAAAUAGAUUUCUAUAGCCAGGUCAGACCAGUCUCUGUGGCCAAUUGUUAAACCAAUUCUCCAACCAAAGACAAACCUCACAAGAGUGCAUUAUCCUGCUAUUGGGAUAUGAAGACUCAACAGUUCACCUACUGAAUCAAAAAAUCUUGUACAGAGGUUUGCCUUUAGCAAUCAGCACUCUCUGUACUGAGUUAUUCAAUGUGAAGUCCUCAUUAUAUACUCAGCCUUACAAUGCUCUGUGCUUAUAUCAUUUCUCACUAAGGCAUGUUUUCUAAUUCCUGCUCUUCUUUCCGGUCAUAAUCCCAAUGUUGCUUCCUCUAGAAAGCCCAUAGCAUAUGUUCUAUGUUGUCAGUAUCUGUGUGCUGGAGCAAGCAGCCAAACAGAGAUGAUCAGAACAGAAUUCAAAUUAGAACUAGUAAUAUUUCUGAAGCCACGCAGUGUGGGCGCUAAAGAUAGAAGCAGGAUUUAAGGCACGAACCUGAACAGGGCCAAUGAUGGUCUCCACAUAAAUGUUGUUAUCACAGUCAGAACAGUCAUACCAGAAUAUCUCCUGUGCAGGAGGCCUCCGGCCUAACAAGUGCCUUUUAGAGGUAGGAAUCUCAACGAAUCGGACAAACCAUUGUACUCGUGCACAUUUCUUGGGAGGAACUUCAGAUCCUAGGGGGAUCGGAUAGAAAGGGAAGAUUAAAUAGUAAGGCAAACAAUAUAUCACUGAAUAUUGCCUAUGUGCCAAACACUACACAGUAGAUAUAUUUACUCCUGAUAAAUUCUACAAAACAUGUACUAUACCUAUCUAUCUCCUUAUAGGGUAAGAAACCAAGUUUCAAGGACCUAAUAUUAUUAUUUGUCAAUGAUCAAAAGACCAAUCAGCAGCAAAAUGACUCCACAAACACUUUUUAUGUUGCUCCACUUUUCUUUAUUUUUGGCUUUUAGUGGCAGGGUUAUAUAGUCCAGGCUGUCCUAGAACUGGCUUUGUAGAUCAGGCUGGCCUCAAACUCACAGAGAUCCACCCGUCUCUGCCUCCAGAGUGCCGGGAUUAAAGGCAUGUGCCACAGGCCUGGAGUUGCUCCAUGUUUUAUAAAAAAAAGAUUUUAUUUUUAUUUGGUAUGUAUGAGUGUUUUGUCUGAAUACAUGUAUGAGCAUAAUGUAUAUGCAGUAUCCGUGGAAGCUAAAAAGGGAAUCAGCUCCUCUGGAACUGGAGUUGUAGACACGGGUACUAGGAACUAACCCUGGGUCCCCUAAAUGUGUAGUAAGUAUUUUCAGGUACUGAGCCCUCUUUCCAGCCCCAUGCUCUACUCCUUUAUAAUGUUUAUCAGUACACAAUGGAAUUUUCAAAGGGAUGGAAAACAAGUUACUAGGGCUGGAGAGAUGGCUCAGUGGUAAAGAGCACUGGCUGCUCUUCUAGAGGUCCUGAGUUCAAUUCCCAGCAACCACAUGAUGGCUCACAACCACCUGUAAUGGGAUCCAGUGUCCUCUUCUGGUGUGUCUGGAGACAUCGACAGUGUAAUGCAUAAAAAAAA